UACAGAGGGGGCAGGCGUUGUUCGGAAUUACUGGGCGUAAAGGGCGCGUAGGCGGCCUUCUAAGUCGAACGUGAAAUCCCCGGGCUCAACCCGGGAACUGCGUCCGAUACUGGAAGGCUUGAAUCCGGGAGAGGGAUGUGGAAUUCCAGGUGUAGCGGUGAAAUGCGUAGAUAUCUGGAGGAACACCGGUGGCGAAGGCGACAUCCUGGACCGGUAUUGACGCUGAGGCGCGAAAGCCAGGGGAGCAAACGGG
rnacentral:rRNA from 1 species